AGCAGCCGCGGUAAUUCCAGCUCCAAUAGCGUAUAUUAAAGUUGUUGCAGUUAAAAAGCUCGUAGUUGAAUUUCGGGGUUAGCAGGUCGGUCGUGCCAUCGGUAUGAACUGGUCUCGCUGAUCCCUCCCUCUUGACGAACUGUGAUGCCAUUAAUUUGGUGUCGCAGGGAAUCAGGACUGUUACUUUGAAAAAUUAGAGUGUUUAAAGCAGGCUCACGCUUGAAUACAUUAGCAUGGAAUAAUGAAAUAGGACGUUUGAUCCUAUUUUGUUGGCUUCUAGGAUUGACGUAAUGAUUAAUAGGGAUAGUUGGGGGCAUUAGUAUUCAAUUGUCAGAGGUGAAAUUCUUGGAUUUAUUGAAGACUAACUACUGCGAAAGCAUUUGCCAAGGAUGUUUUCAUUAAUCAAGAACGAAAGUUAGGGGAUCGAAGACGAUCAGAUACCGUCGUAGUCUUAACCAUAAACUAUGCCGACUAGGGAUCGGAUGAUGUUAAUUUUUAAUGUACU
rnacentral:sRNA from 1 species